rnacentral:rRNA from 1 species
GACGAACGCUGGCGGCGUGCUUAACACAUGCAAGUCGAACGGUAAGGCCCUUCGGGGUACACGAGUGGCGAACGGGAGUAACACGUGGGUGGUCUGCCCUGCACUUCGGGAUAAGCCUGGGAAACUGGGUCUAAUACCGGAUAGGACCACUGCCUGCAUGGGUGGUGGUGGAAAGCUUUUGCGGUGUGGGAUGGGCCCGCGGCCUAUCAGCUUGUUGGUGGGGUGAUGGCCUACCAAGGCGACGACGGGUAGCCGGCCCGAGAGGGUGACCGGCCACACUGGGACUGAGAUACGGCCCAGACUCCUACGGGAGGCAGCAGUGGGGAAUAUUGCACAAUGGGCGCAAGCCUGAUGCAGCGACGCCGCGUGAGGGAUGACGGCCUUCGGGUUGUAAACCUCUUUCAGCACCGACGAAGCGCAAGUGACGGUAGGUGCAGAAGAAGGACCGGCCAACUACGUGCCAGCCGCCGCGGUAAGAC